rnacentral:rRNA from 1 species
UCGGGAAUAUUGCGCAAUGGAGGAAACUCUGACGCAGUGACGCCGCGUAUAGGAAGAAGUUUUUCGGAAUGUAAACUAUUGUCGUUAGGGAAGAGAAAGGACAGUACCUAAGGAGGAAGCUCCGGCUAACUACGUGCCAGCAGCCGCGGUAAUACGUAGGGAGCGAGCGUUAUCCGGAAUUAUUGGGUGUAAAGGGUGCGUAGACGGGAGAGCAAGUUAGUUGUGAAAUCCCUCGGCUUAACUGAGGAACUGCAACUAAAACUACUUUUCUUGAGUGCAGGAGAGGUAAGUGGAAUUCCUAGUGUAGCGGUGAAAUGCGUAGAUAUUAGGAGGAACACCAGUGGCGAAGGCGACCUACUGGACUGUAACUGACGUUGAGGCACGAAAGUGUGGGGAGCAAACAGGAUUAGAUACC